rnacentral:lncRNA from 1 species
UUUCUGUACAAGCCAUUUAUUAGGAAGGUAGCAGUCUGGGACAGGCGGGAAGAGAGUGGGGAAACAGGACGGGGACGACGGGAAGAAGCCAGGCAAAGGAUCCCUCGGGAGCUCUGGGGCAUCAGUGACAGCCCAGACAGUCCCACCUUGAGGCGAGGGCCAGGCUUUCAGGCCCCGCACCAGCCAGUCCUUGCCAGGCGGCCGGCCUAGGUGGGUAAACUCCAGGCAAGGAAGGAGGAGGCUUAAGGGUCCAGAGUCAACCCUCAAAGGAAGUCAAGGGUGCAAGACAGAGCAGCAGAGUGGCCCAGGCCCCGGGGGUGCAGGCUCAGCUGGGUUACGAGGGUGUCCAGGCAACCACUGCAGGGCAGAAUUGGGGCUUCCUGCCGGGGAGAGCAAGGAGCUGGAAUGUUCAACCUCGGGGCGAGAGGCAGGCUCUCCUUCGGAAACAAGGAGAGGGAAAGGCGGGUGGGUGGAGAAACAGCAGGAUCUGCCGCAAGCCCGGUACGCCAGA